UACAGAGGUCUCAAGCGUUGUUCGGAUUCAUUGGGCGUAAAGGGUGCGUAGGCGGCGCGGUAAGUCGGGUGUGAAAUCUCGGGGCUUAACUCCGAAACUGCAUUCGAUACUGCCGUGCUUGAGGACUGGAGAGGAGACUGGAAAUUUACGGUGUAGCGGUGAAAUGCGUAGAUAUCGUAAGGAAGACCAGUGGCGAAGGCGG
rnacentral:rRNA from 1 species